CAAUAGCGUAUAUUAAAGUUGUUGCAGUUAAAAAGCUCGUAGUUGAAUUUCUGGCGGGCGCGCCGGUCUUCCAAGUGUUGUACUGGGCGCAGUCCGCCAUCCUUGUGGAGAGGGCUCGCAUUGAGUUGCGUGUCGGAUCUGCAUCAUUUACUGUGAAAAAAUUAGAGUGUUUAAAGCAGGCUGUCGCUUGAAUACAUUAGCAUGGAAUAAUAAGAUAGGACUUCGGUCUAUUUUGUUGGUUGCGAACCGAGGUAAUGAUUAAUAGGGAUAGUUGGGGGUAUUCAUAUUUAAUUGUCAGAGGUGAAAUUCUUGGAUUUAUGAAAGAUGAACAACUGCGAAANCANNNACGAAGGAUGUUUUCAUNAA
rnacentral:rRNA from 1 species